rnacentral:rRNA from 1 species
AUUAAGCCGGACGGAAGGUGGGGACGGACGUCAAGUCAGCAUGACCUUUAUAUCCAGGGCUACACACACGCUACAAUGGUCAGUACAAUGGGUUGCCAAGCCGCGAGGCGGAGCCAAUCCUAAAAAGCUGGCCUCAGUUCAGAUUGCAGUCUGAAACUCGACUGCAUGAAGUCGGAGUUGCUAGUAAACGCAGGUCAGCUAUACUGCGUUGAAUACGUUCCCGGGGCUU